AUGAGUGCAGCUGCAACAAAAGCUUGGGUAGUAGCAUCAAGCAUAGGAGCUGUGGAGGCAUUAAAAGACCAACUUGGUGUAUGCAGGUGGAACUACGCUUUUAGAUCACUUCAUCAACAUGCUAAGAAUAAUAUCAGAUCAUAUACUCAGGCUAAGAAAUUGUCAUCAUCUGCUUCUUCUGCUGUUUCCAACAAGGUGAAAAGAACCAAAGAAGAAUCUAUGAAGAAAGUCAUGGAGUUGAAUUGCUGGGGUCCUAGUACUGCAAGGUUUUAA